UACGAGAGGCCCAAACGUUAUUCGGAAUUACUGGGCUUAAAGAGUUCGUAGGCGGCGCGGAAAGUGGGGUGUGAAAGCCCUCGGCUCAACCGAGGAAUUGCGCUCCAAACUGCCGUGCUUGAGGGACCUAGAGGUGAGCGGAACUGAUGGUGGAGCGGUGAAAUGCGUUGAUAUCAUCAGGAACACCGGUGGCGAAGGCGGCAUCCUGGACCGGCAUUGACGCUGAGGCGCGAAAGCUAGGGGAGCAAACGGG
rnacentral:rRNA from 1 species